GGAAACUGCUCAACUGGGGAGAUGAAAGCCUCAUCCUCAUCCCUAGCCCCAGCUCCAGGCCCAGCCUGCUUUUAACAAGACAGUGAAGAGUGGCAGUUAAAGGUCUGGCUGGCAUCAGACAGUGCUGAAUUCAAACACCAGCUGAGCUGAAAACGGCCUGACUGGGUGACCUUGAGCAAGCAGCCUGCCCUCUCUGAGGCUCAGUUUAUUUUCUGGAAGGGAGAAGACGGUGUCUACUUCCAAUGACCGCCAUGAUGUUUCAGGUUCAGCCCGAAGGGUGAGCAGCCAAUAAAGAGUGCCGAGAACGGCCUCUGGCCUGCCAGGUAGAGAAAUGACCUGAUUCCUUCCAGAAGUUUCCAGUGUUCCCAAGCUGAUGAGGCUCCUGGGAGAUGCCUCCAGAUCUCUUAACGUUCAGGGAAGCAUGGGCUCUGGUUGCAUUAGGGAGGAUUUAUUUUAUUUUUAAAGGAGUUGAGGCCACUUUGCAAUCAGAGCCUUCGUGGCUGGAGCUGGGCGAGCUGAGGAAGGAGUAUUAAUCAAGGCGCUUUAAGGACAUGCAAAUCAGGAGAAAGCUCAAGUGAUUAGGGUGUGAUGGGGCCUGGAGUCCAGCCUAUAUCCCCAUCUGAGAAGAGAGAGCCAGAGUGCCAGGCAAGGUGGCUCAGGCCCAGCUGGGGGCGGCAGCCAAGGGGCUGCCAUGGGGCCAGGAACUGUGGGUUGGGAGCAAUUGGAGGCAGA
rnacentral:lncRNA from 10 species